rnacentral:rRNA from 1 species
AGUGGCAGACNGGUGAGUAAUGUAUAGGAAUCUACCUAGUAGUACGGAAUAAUUGUUGGAAACGGCAACUAAUACCGUAUACGCCCUACGGGGGAAAGAUUUAUCGCUAUUAGAUGAGCCUAUAUUAGAUUAGCUAGUUGGUAAGGUAAUGGCUUACCAAGGCAAUGAUCUAUAGCUGAUCUGAGAGGAUGAUCAGCCACACUGGAACUGAGAUACGGUCCAGACUCCUACGGGAGGCAGCAGUGGGGAAUAUUGGACAAUGGGCGAAAGCCUGAUCCAGCCAUGCCGCAUGAGUGAAGAAGGNCUUUGGGUUGUAAAGCUCUUUCGGUGANGAAGAUAAUGACGGUACUCACAGAAGAAGUCCUGGCUAACUCCGUGCCAGCAGCCGCGGUAAUAC